rnacentral:rRNA from 1 species
UCCGGUUGAUCCUGCCAGAGGUUACUGCUAUCGGUGUUCGCCUAAGCCAUGCGAGUCAUAUGUAGCAAUACAUGGCGUACUGCUCAGUAACACGUGGAUAACCUGCCCUUGGGACCGGCGUAACCCCGGGAAACUGGGGAUAAUUCCGGAUAACGCAUAUUUGCUGGAAUGCUUUAUGCGUCAAAAGGAUUCGUCUGCCCAAGGAUGGGUCUGCGGCCUAUCAGGUAGUAGUGGGUGUAAUGUACCUACUAGCCAGCGACGGGUACGGGUUGUGAGAGCAAGAGCCCGGAGAUGGAUUCUGAGACAUGAAUCCAGGCCCUACGGGGCGCAGCAGGCGCGAAAACUUUACAAUGCGGGAAACCGUGAUAAGGGGACACCGAGUGCCAGCAUCAUAUGCUGGCUGUCCGGAUGUGUAAAAUACAUCCGUUAGCAAGGGCCGGGCAAGACCGGUGCCAGCCGCCGCGGUAACACCGGCGGCCCGAGUGGUGAUCGUGAUUAUUGGGUCUAAAGGGUCCGUAGCCGGUUUGGUCAGUCCUCCGGGAAAUCUGAUAGCUCAACUAUUAGGCUUUCGGGGGAUACUGCCAGACUUGGAACCGGGAGAGGUAAGAGGUACUACAGGGGUAGGAGUGAAAUCUUGUAAUCCCUGUGGGACCACCUGUGGCGAAGGCGUCUUACCAGAACGGGUUCGACGGUGAGGGACGAAAGCUGGGGGCACGAACCGGAUUAGAUACCCGGGUAGUCCCAGCCGUAAACGAUGCUCGCUAGGUGUCAGGCAUGGCGCGACCGUGUCUGGUGCCGCAGGGAAGCCGUGAAGCGAGCCACCUGGGAAGUACGGCCGCAAGGCUGAAACUUAA